rnacentral:misc_RNA from 1 species
AAAUACUCUUGUCUCUUUACGAAGAUAUUAAUUCUAAAAUUUGGGUUUUUUUCACAUUUGUAUGACCAUCACUUUUUCCGGAAAUUCGUUGCAUUGAUUUUUAUUAGAUAAGACAUCCUUUUGGAAUUUAUUUGCAUAAAAACUAAAACACUGUAUGACAUUCAAUAGGAAUAAAAUUUGUUAUAGUUUGUAUGACGGCAUGUACUGAUGACAUAAUUUCAUUGCAGGGUUUUCUCGUAGCUCUUCUUUUCUGUUUCCUAAAUGGAGAGGUACGUCUAAUUUGCUUAACGUCGAAUACCUUGUCAAAACUUUCAUAAUUUUAAGAGUAAAUUGUACAUGUAUGUAAUAAAUGUUUAUUUUAAAAAUAGAAAUCUAGUUAAGAUAUUAUCAGUUUGAAUUUUUGAUGUUUAAAAAAAAAAAAAAAAAAAAAAAAAAAAGAAGAUUCUCUUUCAAAUGUUAUUUGUCUACAAUUAUUCAAAAUUAGAUUUAAGGUUUCGAUCAUUCAUAAUUGGUAGGUGCAGCAGGAAAUACGAAAGAAAUGGAACCGGAAGUGGAAGUUGCGCAGACUCAGUACCGUGUCGUCACGGUCCACUAGGACCAUGUCGGUCGGGUCCGCAGUGUGUAUAAAAGACAAACAUCUGUCUGCUUUGAUUUUGGCGGGAAACGUCUUACAAAACAAAUCAGGAAAAUGGAAGCAAAAUGUACCUAUGGAGUUACAGGAUCUCAAUCAGUCUCCACACCGAGACAUUCACGAAUGUGCAAGCGAUGAGACUCUGCAAGAGAGUAAUGGAUUGUUGACGUCACAAUGAAGGUUAUGUAAUAUGACCCAACUAAGGGUUUGUUACAAUAGCUAUACUUUAGGCCUUCAAAUGCACACUUGUUGUCUCCUAACUGUCGAAGGGCACCUUUUUGCCUGUAAAAUACGUGCAGUUUGAUUGGUAACCUUGGUGACACGGUCACAUGUGACUGCUAUGAUGUCAUUAACCCCCGGAACGUCACGUAGAAAUAUUAUUCUACAUGCGUUAUGCGAAAAGGAGCAGCUCAUCUUGUUAUUUACUAGAUAUCGCGAUAGUACAUAUGAUACCAGAGAAGAUGUUACUGGCUGUUGAAGAUGUUGAAGAACAAUAUGUGUAAUAUACUUGUACACGGUAUAAUUAAAUUAUUCGUUGUUAAAAUGGAUAUUUGUUGCUAUUAUCGUUUAAACGUUCUUCUGUUUUAGUCAUAUCGUUAAUACACAAUAAAAUUAUUCUAAAUU